UCUGCGGCCUAUCAGGUAGUAGUGGGUGUAGCGUACCUACUAGCCUACGACGGGUACGGGUUGUGAGAGCAAGAGCCCGGAGAUGGAUUCUGAGACACGAAUCCAGGCCCUACGGGGUGCAGCAGGCGCGAAAACUUUACAAUGCUGGCAACAGCGAUAAGGGAACCUCGAGUGCCAGGUUACAAAUCUGGCUGUCGAGAUGCCUAAAAAGCAUUUCAUAGCAAGGGCCGGGCAAGACCGGUGCCAGCCGCCGCGGUAACACCGGCGGCUCGAGUGGUAACCGUUAUUAUUGGGUCUAAGGGUCUGUAGCCGGCCGGAUAAGUCUCUUGAGAAAUCUGGCAGCUUAACUGUCAGGCUUUCAGGAGAUACUGUCUGGCUCGAGGCCGGGAGAGGUGAGAGGUACUUCAGGGGUAGGGGUGAAAUCUUGUAAUCCUUGAAGGACCACCAGUGGCGAAGGCGUCUCACCAGAACGGACCUGACGGCAAGGGACGAAAGCUAGGGGCACGAACCGGAUUAGAUACCCGGGUAGUCCUAGCCGUAAACGAUACUCGCUAGGUGUCGGCCACGGUGCGACCGUUGUCGGUGCCGUAGGGAAGCCGGAAGCGAGC
rnacentral:rRNA from 1 species